GAUGUUCGGACUAAGCACGAACAGAACGGCCACAUCUGAACGUUGGAAGAUGAGAAUAUCCAGGGAGAUUCAUUUCAAUAUUCUUCGAUACAGAAACAGAGUGUGUCAGUGUGAGGAAACUAAAACGAUGAUUGAAAUGCAGAGGACUCAAAGCGAACGGAAAGAAGGCAGCGCUGGUUUGAAAGGCCUCCUACCUGUGGUGAGUCCUGGUAUCUUUCAGGCCUGUUGGGAUAAGGGCAGACUGUGUCCGAGGUACGAGUCACUUUGGUGCUGCCCUCAGAAAUCCACAGCAGCUUCUGUGCUGUUUUGUCAUCCAGAGAGACGGGGAACCAGUCUGAGGAGGGCCUCUUGUCACUUUGAAGCCAAAUAAACUGCUUCUGGCCACGCCCCCCAAACUCAAAGUUUAUAAUCGGCUGUGAAAAUGGCUGUAAAGAGAUGCGCAAUUAUACAACCAUACACCUUUGAAAAGCAGAAGUGGAUCCUCCUGCACAGCCAACAAGAUUGCAGCAAGUGGUUUCCAUACGCCUUCCUGGUUCUGAAGCAGACAGCAGUUUGGUCCCAGAGGAACAUGAGGAACGGAGUGAGUUAAAAGAUCUUUCUGGUGAUUAGAAGAGACGCAGCUGAAGCUCCACACUGAGCCUCCCAAAAAUAAAAGGAUGUUCCUCACAGUUAGAGGUGUGGACUAAAAACAGCUGGACAUGGAAAAACGAGGUGAUGUAAUGUUGACACAGGGAUCAAACCUGACAUAGAGAGACAGAUCCAGUCAGCUGGUCCCAAUGGAACAACUGGGAGACGCCCAGUAGCUGCGUUUCCUUUGACCUUAAAAUUGAGAAAUUCGACAUUUUGAAAAUAAAUUAGCUUAAUGGAAACACAUCACUUCUGAAAAACUGAUUAGUUGUUGUUUUUUUUGAUAAAACGUUUUUGCGGUAGGAUUAGAUUGUUAGAGCAUUUCACAAAAAUGCAAAGAAAACACGUUUUUCAUAUCAUACGAGUCAACAGGAUGUUAUAAAAACAACUGGAAUGUUAAUUUUACAGAACAACAUGAAUCUGUGGUGAAAUAAAUAAAAAAACAGACAAGUAAAGUAAUAAAUACUUUAUUUUCCACAUUAGUAGUAAAAGUGCAGUCACCUGCGAAUCGCAAAGUUUCCUUCUUACUGUACAGAUUUCAGAUGCACAACAAAUAUGUUCCUCCUUAAAUAGCUUUAUGUACAGCAGAUAAAAACUGAGAAUUUUUAUUCAGUGAAUGAUACUGGAAAAA